CAGUCGCCGCGGUAAUACGUAGGGUGCGGGCGUUAAUCGGAAUUACUGGGCGUAAAGCGUGCGCAGGCGGUUCGUUAAGACAGAUGUGAAAUCCCCGGGCUUAACCUGGGAACUGCAUUUGUGACUGGCGGGCUAGAGUAUGGCAGAGGGGGGUAGAAUUCCACGUGUAGCAGUGAAAUGCGUAGAGAUGUGGAGGAAUACCGAUGGCGAAGGCAGCCCCCUGGGCCAAUACUGACGCUCAUGCACGAAAGCGUGGGGAGCAAACAGGAUUAGAUACCCGCGUAGUCCCUGUCUCUUAUAC
rnacentral:rRNA from 1 species